rnacentral:snRNA from 1 species
AGAUGUGAGGCUGAUCUGGCUGAGACAUCAGCCACCCAAAUCAGUGGGUUGAUUUGACUGAUCUGGCUGGCUGGCUGGGCAGGUGUCUCUCAUUGUUCCAUGAAUGUUGCUUGCAGACUCAAUGGAGGAGGAAAACCAUCCUUGUCGGGAGCAUGUAUAGUUCUUUGUUACCCUUGAUGGAGGCACUCUUCUGCUAGAAUAGCAAUUGCAAUAGCACUUAGACUUAUAUACCGCUUUAUAGUGUGUAUGUGGAGUAGAACCUCCAAACAAGCUUUCAGAAUCUCACGUAACAUGAAGAUGCAUUCAUGGGCUUUCUAU